rnacentral:rRNA from 1 species
AGCGAACGCUGGCGGCAGGCCUAACACAUGCAAGUCGAACGAAGUCUUCGGACUUAGUGGCGGACGGGUGAGUAACACGUGGGAACGUACCUUUUGGUUCGGAACAACUCAGGGAAACUUGAGCUAAUACCGGAUAAGCCCUUAGGGGGAAAGAUUUAUCGCCGAAAGAGCGGCCCGCGUUAGAUUAGCUAGUUGGUGAGGUAAAGGCUCACCAAGGCUACGAUCUAUAGCUGGUCUGAGAGGAUAAUCAGCCACACUGGGACUGAGACACGGCCCAGACUCCUACGGGAGGCAGCAGUGGGGAAUCUUGCGCAAUGGGCGAAAGCCUGACGCAGCCAUGCCGCGUGAAUGAUGAAGGUCUUAGGAUUGUAAAAUUCUUUUACCAGGGACGAUAAUGACGGUACCUGGAGAAAAAGCCCCGGCUAACUUCGUGCCAGCAGCCGCCGUAACAC